rnacentral:misc_RNA from 1 species
UUAAAAACGAUUUAUAAAUUAUACUCAGACAACACAGUUAUAAAGAAUUUAAGUAGGCUACUGGCGAGCACUGACCAGAGGCAACAGAGCCCCCGGCGGCCCCGAAAGGCGGGCCCGCCAAAGCAACAUGGUAGAAUAAACAAAGGGUUGGAGGUCGGGCCUGGAAGACCCUAACUCAGUAAUGAUCCUUCCGCAGGUUCACCUACGGAAA